rnacentral:rRNA from 1 species
GGAGGAAAAGAAACCAACAGGGAUUGCCUUAGUAACGGCGAGUGAAGCGGCAAAAGCUCAAAUUUGAAAUCUAGCACUUUCAGUGUUCGAGUUGUAAUUUGAAGAAGGUAACUUUGGAAUUGGCUCUUGUCUAUGUUCCUUGGAACAGGACGUCACAGAGGGUGAGAAUCCCGUGCGAUGAGAUGUCCAAUUCUAUGUAAAGUGCUUUCGAAGAGUCGAGUUGUUUGGGAAUGCAGCUCUAAGUGGGUGGUAAAUUCCAUCUAAAGCUAAAUAUUGGCGAGAGACCGAUAGCGAACAAGUACAGUGAUGGAAAGAUGAAAAGAACUUUGAAAAGAGAGUGAAAAAGUACGUGAAAUUGUUGAAAGGGAAGGGCUUGAGAUCAGACUUGGUAUUUUGUGUUCCUUAUCCUUCUUGGAUUAGGUUCCUCACAGCUUACCGGGCCAGCAUCGGUUUGGAUGGCAGGAUAAUGACAUUGGAAUGUAGCUUUGCUUCGGUGAAGUGUUAUAGACUUUGUUGAUACUGCCUAUCUAGACCGAGGACUGCGUCUUUGACUAGGAUGCUGGCGUAAUGAUCUUAAGCCGCCCGUCUU